AGACUGAACGCUGGCGGCAUGGCUAAAACAUGCAAGUCGAACGGACCCGCAAGGGUUAGUGGCGGAAGGGUGAGUAAUACUAUCGAAUGUACCCCGAGGUGGAGGAUAGGCAUGGGAAACUGUGCAUAAUACUUCAUGAUCUCGAGAGAGCAAAGCCGCAAGGCGCCUUGGGAGCAGCGAUAUUCCUAUCAGGUAGUUGGCGGGUAAUGGCCCACAAGCCGAAGACGGUAGCCGGUAUGAGAGUACGGCCGGCCACAUCGGGACUGAGACACUGCCCGGACUCCUACGGAGGCUGCAGUAACGAAUAUUCCGCAAUGGGCGAAAGCCUGACGGAGCAAUGCCGCGUGUGGGAUGAAGCGGUUUCGCCGUGUAAACCACUGUCAGGAAAUAGAAAAGAUGAUCAUUUACCGAAAGGAAGGGCGAACUAACUCUAGUGACCAGCCAAGGCCGAC
rnacentral:rRNA from 1 species